GACGAACGCUGGCGGCGUGCUUAACACAUGCAAGUCGAACGGAAAGGCCCUGCUUUUGUGGGGUGCUCGAGUGGCGAACGGGUGAGUAACACGUGAGUAACCUGCCCUUGACUUUGGGAUAACUUCAGGAAACUGGGGCUAAUACCGGAUAGGAGCUCCUGCUGCAUGGUGGGGGUUGGAAAGUUUCGGCGGUUGGGGAUGGACUCGCGGCUUAUCAGCUUGUUGGUGGGGUAGUGGCUUACCAAGGCUUUGACGGGUAGCCGGCCUGAGAGGGUGACCGGCCACAUUGGGACUGAGAUACGUCCCAGACUCCUACUGGAGGCAGCAGUGUAGAAUAUUCCACAAUGGGCGGAAGCCUGAUGCAGCAACGCCGCGUGCGGGAUGACGGCCUUCGGGUUGUAAACCGCUUUCGCCUGUGACGAAGCGUGAGUGACGGUAAUGGGUAAAGAAGCACCGGCUAACUACGUG
rnacentral:rRNA from 1 species